UACGGGGGGGGCAAGCGUUGUUCGGAAUUACUGGGCGUAAAGGGCUCGUAGGCGGCCAACUAAGUCGGAUGUGAAAUCCCCAAGCUUAACUUGGGAACUGCAUCCGAUACUGGAUGGCUUGAAUCCGGGAGAGGAAUGCAGAAUUCCAGGUGUAGCGGUGAAAUGCGUAGAUAUCUGGAGGAAUACCGGUGGCGAAGGCGGCAUCCUGGACCGGCAUUGACGCUGAGGAGCGAAAGCUAGGGGAGCAAACGGG
rnacentral:rRNA from 1 species